GAACAAUGACCCCUAAUCGCCAUCAUAAAGAAGCCACGCCCACACGGUGAGCGCAUAAUGGCCUCUCACUGGGCACUACCAGAGGCAAGGCCUGCUGUCUUCUCUACUCCCACCUAGUAACUGGAUGGCUGUAGAUGUGGAGAGAAGUAGCGCCUAGUGGCCCGGAGAAACAAGUAGAAAUAGCGCCUGGAGCGGAGUCAGCCCCACGCCUACCCACCCGUGCACGCGCGGCAGGAGCAGAGUUGGGCCUCUGACUAAAUCUGUUUUUUGUGUUUUCUUGGAAACUUGUCUCCGAAAAGUCUGUCUGGAGUCACCCUUGCUUCCAGAAAGGAUGUGAAGAAAGUAGGAGCCUUUUCACCAGACAAUAAUUGGACUCCAGUUCCCUCAUGUGGUAGUAGUAAAUCCGUCCACCUACUGUGCGUGAGAAACAGCCGAGAGGGGAGGGGAGCUACUGAAUGUUGCGGGACCCUGAAUGCAUCAGAAUUCCAGUGUGUUAAGAGACGAAGCAAGCUGGUCCUCUCUGCCCACCGUAACAUCAGCUUAUCCUUCUGUCUCCUGUCUGCGGUGGAUGUUGCUCUCACUCCAUCCAGAUUUCAAAGCUUCCCUGCCUGGCAUCCAAGUGGUGCUGAAGCUUUAACCCUCUGGUCUUCUGGAGCGCCGGGUCCUACAGCUCGGGUGGACGUGGAUUCAAGGUUCAUCUGAACCCAGAUGCCCCGCUUUGGUGUAAAGCUUUUCCAGUGCGACUCCAUGGAGUGAUACAAACAUAGCAAUAUCAUUUCAAAUACUUAAAAUGGAUGGACCACAAACUUGGCUGUACGCAAAGAGUAUAAUACAGACUUGGCUGGUGCCCAGCUGGCCUUUCUGGUGACCACUUCCCAUGUGACUAUGUCUUCUGUUGGACCCAGGAGUGGCUCAACUCAUGGUGUGCUCCAAAGAACCCACUCUCAAUAAAGCUGACCUCCAUCUCUUGUGACUCCCCAGCCAAACCUCCUAAGUGGUCACUGAGCAGGGCAGAGGGUUGGUAUUCGUCUAAUGGAAGCCGCCCUACUCGAAAGCCACAAGCCUUUCUCUUUUUUUUUCUUAACAAAUCGACAUUCAUUUCUGCUGCA